GGCCCGGCUAACUACGUGCCAGCAGCCGCGGUAAUACGUAGGGGUCGAGCGUUGUCCGGAGUUACUGGGCGUAAAGCGCAUGCAGGCGGCUCAUUACGCACGGCGUGAAAGCCCCCGGCUUAACCGGGGAGGGUCGUCGUGUACGGGUGAGCUUGAGGGUAUCAGGGGCUGGUGGAAUUCCCGGUGUAGUGGUGAAAUGCGUAGAGAUCGGGAGGAACACCUGUGGCGAAGGCGGCCAGCUGGGAUACACCUGACGCUGAGAUGCGAAGGCGUGGGGAGCGAACGGGAUUAGAUACCCCGGUAGUCCACGCAGUAAACGAUGCAGACUAGGCGUGGGAGGACUUGACCCCUUCCGUGCCGGAGCUAACGCGAUAAGUCUGCCGCCUGGGGAGUACGGUCGCA
rnacentral:rRNA from 1 species